rnacentral:rRNA from 2 species
AGUUAAAACUUUCAACAACGGAUCUCUUGGUUCUGGCAUCGAUGAAGAACGCAGCGAAAUGCGAUAAGUAAUGUGAAUUGCAGAAUUCAGUGAAUCAUCGAAUCUUUGAACGCACAUUGCGCCCAUUAGCAUUCUAGUGGGCAUGCCUGUUCG